rnacentral:rRNA from 1 species
UACGUAGGGUGCAAGCGUUGUCCGGAAUUAUUGGGCGUAAAGAGCUCGUAGGCGGUUUGUCGCGUCUGCUGUGAAAACUCGGGGCUUAACUCCGGGCCUGCAGUGGGUACGGGCAGACUAGAGUGCGGUAGGGGAGACUGGAAUUCCUGGUGUAGCGGUGAAAUGCGCAGAUAUCAGGAGGAACACCAGUGGCGAAGGCGGCUCGCUGGACCGGUUCUGACGCUGAGGCGCGAAAGCGUGGGGAGCAAACGGG